GUGGGAUUCAUCUAUUGUAGAAGCUUGGAUGGAGACUUUCUAUUGGAGAAGUUCGAUUUCAUGAGGAAUCUAACAGAGGGUCGGCUGGCAGUGGACUUCGGAUGGCAUUGGGGAGGUUCGUCUGCUGGAAGAGUCUGGAGGAUCCUGUGGAAGUUCGGUUGGCGUUGUUGAAGUCUGGCUGACGCUAUUGAAGGUUGAUGGCUAGGGAGAUACG
rnacentral:lncRNA from 1 species